GGAGGAAUACCCAAGUCCGGCUGAAGGGAUCGGUCUUGAAAACCGACAGGCGGGUCAUACCGCGCGGGGGUUCGAAUCCCUCUUCCUCCU
rnacentral:tRNA from 1 species